rnacentral:rRNA from 1 species
UCGCACCUACCGAUUGAAUGGUUCGGUGAAAAUUUCAGACCUGUGUUUGUCUCCUUAAUUGGAGACCCUCACGGGGAAGAUGUUUAAACCUCAUCAUUUAGAGGAAGGUG